GUUGCUUCAGUCGUGUCCGACUCUGUGCGACCCCAUAGACGGCAGCCCACCAGGCUCCCCCGACCCUGGGAUUCUCCAGGCAAGAACACUGGAGUGGGUUGCCAUUUCUUCUCCAAUGCGUGAGAGUGAAGUCGCUCAGUCGUGUCCGACUCUUCACGACCCCAUGGACUGCAGCCGACCAGGCUCCUCCGUCCGUGGGAUUUUCCAGGCAAGAGAACUGGAGUGGGGUGACAUUGCCUUCUCCGAGCACAGCCCUAAGAAUCUUCUUAGGGGCGGUCAGGCCUUUGAUGUGGUGACUGAAUCUUGAAAACAUCUGCCCAGCUCCUGCCUUCACUCUUCUGCAAGGAAUUACAACUUAUCCACUGGUGUCUGAGGAUAACUGAUUGGUUUGUAGAGGACAGAGUUUGAGAGACACCAGUAGAAAAAAUUAAAUCUUGGGGAUCUCUGAGAAAGAGAAUCCUCAGAAGUCAGGAAAAGUUGGAGCAGUUGAGCAGCUCUCAUGGCUUCAGGAAUUGUGGUGAACCUACAGGGGGAGGUGACCUGCCCCAUUUGCCUGGAGCUUCUGACAGAACCCCUGAGCCUUGACUGUGGCCACAGCUUCUGCCAAGCCUGCAUCACUGCAAACAACAUGGUGUCCAUGAAUGACCAAGACGAGGACAGAAGGUGCCCUGUGUUCAGAAUUAGUUAUGAGCCUGGAAACCUAAGGCCUAAUAGGCAUGUGGCCAACAUAGUACAGAGGCUCAGAGAGGUCAAGUUGAGCCCAGAGGUGGAGCAAGAGAGAAAUCUCUGUCUUCGCCAUGGAGAGAAACUCAUGCUCUUCUGUGAGGAGGACAGGGAAGUCAUUUGCUGGCUUUGUGCACGGUCCCAGGAGCACCAUGGUCACCACACAUUCCUCAUGGAAGAUGUUGCCCAGGACUAUCAGAAGAAACUCCAGGAAGCUCUAGAGAAGCUGAGGGAGAAGCAGCUGGAAGCCGAGGAGUUGGAAGUUAAAGUCAGAGCAGACAUUGCUGCCUGGAAGGUAGGAGAAGGCACUUCCUGAGGGAUUUAGACAGAUGUCUUGGACAGGAUCUUGGGUGGUCACAAGUAGC
rnacentral:lncRNA from 1 species